GCCCAGUGAUGAUACCAAGGCGAAUGUGAGCUUACUGGAUGCGAGUCUGAGUUCUCCUGUGUUCCUAUUGGCUGGUAAUCUUGACAGGGCAGUGGAGUUUUGCUGCUUUGUUGUAAGGGCCAGCCUACAGUCACCAAGCCCCUUCACUCACACUCUUCUCUAGAGUAAUGCUGGGGAGAGAGUGAAAGGGCAGACAGUGUGUGUGUGUGUGUGUGUGUGUGUGUGUGUGUGUGUGUGUGUGUGUUUGUAGACUCAGAUAGAAUCUCAGCUCUGCUGUAUCCAGUAGCCUAUGAACUGCAUCUUUGGUAAUCUGAGGGUG